GACGAACGCUGGCGGCGUGCUUAACACAUGCAAGUCGAACGAAGUGGCGAACGGGUGAGUAACGCGUAAUCAACCUGCCCUUCAGAGGGGAACAACAGUUGGAAACGACUGCUAAUACCGCAUACUGAAGGAGGGGAUGGCGUCUGAUUGGCUCGUUGGAGGGGUAACGGCCCACCAAGGCGAUGAUCAGUAGCCGGUCCGGGGGGAUGGACGGCCACAAUGGGACGGAGACACGGCCCAGACUCCUACGGGAGGGAGCAGUGGGGAAUUUUCCGCAAUGGACGAAAGUCUGACGGAGCACCGCCGGGGGAGUUAUGACGGCCUUCGGGUUGUAAAGCUAUGUUAAUCGGGACGCGUUACCGGAAUAGAAAGCCACGGCUAACUACGUGCCAGCAGCCGCGGUAAUUC
rnacentral:rRNA from 1 species